GUGGGGAAUCUUCCGCAAUGGACGAAAGUCUGACGGAGCAACGCCGCGUGAGUGAAGAAGGUUUUCGGAUCGUAAAGCUCUUUCGUUAGGGACGAACGUGCUCUUUGUGAAUAAUGAGGAGUAAUGACGGUACCUAAAUAAGAAGCCACGGCUAACUACGUGCCAGCAGCCGCGGUAAUACGUAGGUGGCAAGCGUUGUCCGGAAUUAUUGGGCGUAAAGCGCGCGCAGGCGGGAUAUCAAGUCUGUCUUAAAAGUGCGAGGCUCAACCUCGUGAGGGGACAGAAACUGGUAUUCUUGAGUGUCGGAGAGGAAAGUGGAAUUCCAAGUGUAGCGGUGAAAUGCGUAGAUAUUAGGAAGAACACCAGUGGCGAAGGCGACUUUCUGGACGAAAACUGACGCUGAGGCGCGAAAGCCAGGGGAGCGAACGGGAUUAGAUACCCGGGUAGUCC
rnacentral:rRNA from 1 species